rnacentral:rRNA from 1 species
GAUGAACGCUGGCGGCGUGCCUAAUACAUGCAAGUCGAGCGAACGGACCAGGCUCUUGCUGCUCUGUUGUUAGCGGCAGACGUGUGAAUAACGCGUGUAUACCCUCCCUAUCAUACUGGUAUAACUUCGGAACACCGGCGCUAAUACCGUAUGAUCUUUUGCUCCACAUUGUUCAAUGGUGAGAUACGGUCUUUCUGGCUCUUAUCGAUGCAUCUGCGCUGCAUUAGCUAGUUGGUGAGGUAACGGCUUACGAAGGCAACGAUGCAUAGCCGACCGGAGAGGGGGAUAGGCCACACUGGAACUGAGACGCGGUCCAGGCUCCUAAGAGACGCAGCAGUAGGGAAUCUGACGCAAUGGGCGAAAGCAUGACGGAGCAACGGCGAGUGAGUGAUGAAGGUCUUCGGAGCGGAAUAACCGGUUAUGAGGGAAGAACAGAUGUGGAAGGAACUGUGCAGAUAGUGACGGUAACUAAUAAGAAAGCCACGGCUAACUACGUG